rnacentral:rRNA from 1 species
GGAAGGAAACUGGACGACCCUUCGGGGAGCUUGUACAGGUGCUGCAUGGCUGUCGUCAGCUCGUGUCGUGAGAUGUUCGGUUAAGUCCGCUAACGAGCGCAACCCUCGCUGUGUGUUACAAGUGUCACACGGGAACUGCCGGUCAUAAACCGGAGGAAGGUGGGGAUGACGUCAAGUCAGCAUGGCCUUUAUAUCCUGGGCUACACACACGCUACAAUGGGAAGGGACAAUAGGUUGCGAAGCCGCGAGGCGGAGCCAAUCCAGCAAAACUUCCCUCAGUUCAGAUUGCAGGCUGCAACUCGCCUGCAUGAAGUUGGAGUUGCUAGUAAACGCAGGUCAGCCAUACUGCGUUGAAUACGUUCCCGGGGCUU